UUCGGCCAUGUCACGUUGAAACACUUGUUCUCGUAUGAUCACCAAAGUUAAGCAACGUCGAGCCGGAUCAGUAACGAGAUGGGUGACCACUUGGGAAUACCGCGUGCUGUAUU